GAUGAACGUUGGCGGCGUGCCUAAUACAUGCAAGUCGAACGGAGAUUGUAGCAAUACGGUCUCAGUGGCGAACGGGUGAGUAACGCGUUGGUGACCUGCCCCGAAGUGUGGAAUAACAGAUCGAAAGAGCUGCUAAUACCGCAUAAUAUCCAGAGGACUAGAUGCCUUUGGAUUAAAGGAUUUAUUCGCUUCGGGAGGGGCCUGCGUCCCAUCAGCUAGUUGGUAAGGUAAAGGCUUACCAAGGCUAUGACGGGUAGGGGACCUGAGAGGGUGGCCCCCCACAAUGGAACUGAAACACGGUCCAUACACCUACGGGUGGCAGCAGUAGGGAAUAUUAGUAAUGGGCGAAAGCCUGAACUAGCAACGCCGCGUGUGCGAAGAAGGCCUUCGGGUUGUAAAGCAACUUUUUGAGAGGAUGAGGAAGGACGGUACUCUCAGAAUAAGUACUCGGCUAACUAACGUG
rnacentral:rRNA from 1 species